GGUGAUGUCACGGAGGUGGCCGUGAGGUCAGCGGCGGGGGUCCGGGCGCCCUCGGGGCUGCCCGGGAGCUGAGGGGUAGCGCCGGGGAUGGCAGCCUACCCUCGGAGCGGCCGGAUCGCCGCGGAGAUGUGCGGACAGAGGAACAAGUGGGAUGAAACUACAUAGGUGACGUUCGCUUUUUUCUCAGGACAUAAACAAGGAAAGGGGAGGGGAAAAAAACACCAUAAACCAAAAAAUUAAUUUGAUCCUGAUCCCAUAGCUCACUGAUGGGGACAGCCAGAUGGUGUUUUGCUACAAUACAGUUGCUGUCUGACAUCACCUUGAGCAAGUUUCCCAACAGGAAGGAAGCAAUGCCUAGAGACCUCCUCAGACCUGUCUCACCAUCAGCUAACAGAGAGUAUCUGCAAAUGUAGACUACAGUACCGUGACAGCCGCCGUCGAUAACCAGAAAACCAGCUUAGCAAAGCUGGCUGGCUCCAAGGGCAGGAGGAGUGGUAAGGGAUCUAGCAAAGCCCAUGCUGCCAGGACAGGCCCAGCAAAAGCCACUCCCAUCAACUCUUGGGCAUGCAGGAAUCAGCUUUGUCGCUCAAAGUUCAUCUAAUUUGUCCUUACAAACCUGCAAUGACGUAAGACAUUACGGUCUCCCAAGACAAUCUGUUCCAGCGUUCAUUACUGCAGAAAGUCCCCAACUAAAGGGCAGACGGUUUGGAAGAGGGUAGGGACCCAGGUCAUAGCCCUGCCUCAGCUACGCGCAGCCUGCAGGCACGACACAGGCGUUUGCUGCGCAGACGUUUGGAUAGCUUUGUCUGGUGAUGCCGUGCCAGUGUGGUUCUUAUCUCUCUGCCCUUAGCCCUGGCAGAAAGAGAUUAUUCUUCCCCUUUGUAGCUGUCGUUUGGGGUGUGAAGAUUGUUGCUGUGCCCCCUUCAAUCUUCUUUGGCUAAAUUUAUCAGUUUUAUCAAUGAGCAGAAUGUCAAAGCAAUGUCAUGCUGCCCCAAGAAAAUCAUUACGCUAGCACAGCUGUACAAGCACUGAUUAAGAAAACAGGUUUUGGUAGGUUUUGAUUCAAAAAGACAUUGACAAUAACUGAAUAUUCCGAUGUCUUUUUAUUCAGUUUUUAAUUUUCGGAAAUAAGUCUUCUAUAUUAGUCUCUUAAAUAUUACCUGGUUAGGCCUUGAUCCCACAACCUCUUACAUGAAUGGAUCGAGCUUUGAACUGAAUUAUAUUAAGAAGAAAUAUGCUGUGAAAUGACAUGUAAACAAAAUCAUUUGCCACACAUUCACAUCUCCUAAUAAAAAUAGUUAAAAAUCUA